rnacentral:rRNA from 1 species
AUUGAACGCUGGCGGCAUGCCUUACACAUGCAAGACGAACGGUAACAGGCCGCAAGGUGCUGACGAGUGGCGAACGGGUGAGUAAUGCAUCGGAACGUGCCCAGUCGUGGGGGAUAACGCAGCGAAAGCUGCGCUAAUACCGCAUACGAUCUCUGGAUGAAAGCGGGGGACCGAAAGGCCUCGCGCGAUUGGAGCGGCCGAUGUCAGAUUAGGUAGUUGGUGGGGUAAAGGCCCACCAAGCCAACGAUCUGUAGCUGGUCUGAGAGGACGACCAGCCACACUGGGACUGAGCCACGGCCCAGACUCCUACGGGAGGCAGCAGUGGGGAAUUUUGGACAAUGGGCGCAAGCCUGAUCCAGCAAUGCCGCGUGCAGGAAGAAGGCCUUCGGGUUGUAAACUGCUUUUGUACGGAACGAAACGGUCCGGGUUAAUACCCUGGGCUAAUGACGGUACCGUAAGAAUAAGCACCGGCUAACUACGUGCCAGCCGCCGCAGUAAGAC